rnacentral:misc_RNA from 1 species
GCAAACUUGGUCAUUUAGAGGAAGUAAAAGUCGUAACAAGGUUUCCGUAGGUGAACCUGCGGAAGGAUCAUUAGCGAAGUUCGGAAUGCCGGUUCGGUGCUGAAGCUGCUCAGCGAUGGGAUGUGCUCGUCCGGGCCGGUGUCCCUUCUCUAUUCCACCCCACUGUGAACCAAGCGUGCGAGCAGAAGAGAGAUCGGAAGCUCGCAUGCACACUUUAACAUACCCCUUAUGAAGUAUCUGAAUGUACCUUGCGUUAACUCGCACAAAUACAACUUUCAACAACGGAUCUCUUGGCUCUCGCAUCGAUGAAGAACGCAGC